CUAUUGCACGGUGUAGAGAGGAGGGUGGAAGCAGCAUGUGCCGGGGCUCGCGUCCAGAGGAGGCAGGGGACAAAGGCGGGUAGAGGCCACGGCUCGUCACUCAGGUUCCCAGCGCUCCCGACGAUGGAGGCGGCGCAGAUGCAUAGAGAACGGCGUGUCGAGGACGGCGGCCGCCGAGCCGUCCAGGGGCGGUGGUGGCAGAGGAGGCGGAUGCCGUGGCAGCGGACUUCUGCAGGCGGCACACUGCAGUCACUUGCGGCCACGCCAUCCUCGCCGCCGGAUCCCUCGUCGGAAGCGGAGGGGGAGAGGAGAUAGAUGGGCAUCGCGUCCGCACCGCCAACUCCUACUGCUACCAGCCCCCAUGCUUGCUCGAUCUCAACUGGUUGCCCUGGACGGCUUUGUUGAGAUUCCUGUGUUGAGGACCAUCUUGGUUUGCGAGACAUGUACAAAUUAGCAUGAAGACCACGGUGCCACCGCAGCUGACUGCCAAGCCCCGGUGGAGGAGGAAGGGAUAGCUCCUUGUGGUGCGAGGAUGGCUGCAGCUGAUGUUUGUUCUGCCGCGGUUAGGACGGCGGUGCCAUGGAUUCUUGCCUGCAGCUUCUUGUUCUGCUCGUUUCCCAUCUCCCUUGAUGAGUACACUAGGUGAUCAUUUCCCACCUCUGUUUGAUCCUUUCAGCUUGUGAUGAAUAUAGAUGCAUCUUGCUCUCUCACAUGUAAUUUGCCGUUUAUCUCUACCAGCUCACUGUCUAGAUAAUUUUGUGAGCAUCUCACAUGUAUUUGCUACUGCUUAAUCCAGUUUGUUCGUACACCUGUUGGUGCGAGGAUGGCUGUAGUUAGUGUUCGUGCUGGCGUGGUCAGGACAGUGGUGCCAUGAAUUCUUGCCUGCAGAUUUUUGCCCUGCUCGUCUCCCGUGUCCUUGGGUGAGUAAAGUAGAUGGUCAUUGCCCUAUGUAUGCAUGGUUUUUAUGAUUAGGAGUUCAGUGUUUGGAUAUUUCUCUGAGACAGACGUGAGCAUGAGUGAAAGCAAGGUAUUACUGUAAUAAUUCAGUUUACUAUACCUUUGGGCAUGGACAUGAGUAUCUUCAGCCUACUUUCACUCCCCUACUAAUUUUUGUAAUGCAUCAUCUUUGUGCUUAUUUAUAUUGUGUAACCAAAGUGAAAAGCUAAAGGAAUCUUCGUACAAAUUUGUUGGGUUUUUACUCUAUAAAUAGUGUAUACUGUCCCGAUAGGUCUUUUUUUUUCUUCUAAUAGUAAAGUGGUGGUGGUAUUCUUUACCGCAUCCUUAUCUUGUUUAUCAUUGCGCCGGGCAUUCUUCUAUUGUUUCCAUGUGGGAUAAUUCUUCGGCAAAACGUGUCCCAGACGCGUCCAAUAUUUACGCAAGGACAUUGUCAUGUUGGGUAUACUCCUAAUCUGAUUUGCUAUUUGUUCAUGGCGUGCAUUGUUUGAUCAGCCCUAUUAGUCCGAAUCUCCAUAGACAAAGCAUCACUACGUUGUCUAGAUGAUGCACUAUAAUUUCCAGAAACUCAGUCUAAUAGGAUAGAGCAAAGUCUUUGUUUCUUAUAUAUAUCUUAGGGUAUAGCAAAGUCUUUGUUUGAAUCCUUCUACUCUAUUGAUAGGUUGAUUUCCUCUUUGGCAGUUCAAUGGUGUUACCUAAUUAAGCUCCUUAACUUCAUAUUUCUAUUUCCUUUGUCAUGUCAAGGCACACCAAUUGUGAUAUCUUUGCUGAACUCUGAGUUGGAGCAAGCCUACACUAUGACAUAGGUAUUGUAUGAGGUUCCAUUAUAAUGACUGAUGUCCCAUCGGCUUUCAGUUUCAUGAGAUGAUGUGCGAUGAAAAAACACAUGUGCAGUAGCUGUGGCACUUAGAACCAUGCUAUUAUGGUGCUUCACCUUCCCUUUAUAUGUUUGUAUCCAUUUUUCAUACAAUGUCUUUGCAGUGAACUUUUUGAUCACAUGCAGCGGUUUUUUUUGUCGUUCCAUCUUUUCAGCUCAAGAUCUCUUACCAGACCAAUCUCUUUAUGCGCUAGACAUUGUUUACUGGCCAUAUGUGAAGAUAGUGAGGAUUGCUACUGGAGCAUGCAUGGCUGCUUGCACUUGUUAACGAAUGGACAUGAAUAGGAAGCUGCUUUCAGUCAAUAGAGAACCUGUCUUGCCCAAGACCAAGCUCAAGGAUGGGAUAGGGUUUAAGUGAGGUUUUCUUGGCUACCGCCUCCUGAGUUUGUACAUAAUGAGACCAUCCGGUAGUAAUUUGUGUUGUAAAUAUGAG